GUGCCAGCCGCCGCGGUAAAACGUAGGUGGCGAGCGUUAUCCGGAUUUACUGGGUGUAAAGCGUGUGCAGGCGGUCGUGUAAGUAGCGCGUGAAAGCGCCCGGCUUAACCGGGCGAGGACGUGCUGUACUGCGCGACUGGAGAUGAGUAGAGGCGAGUGGAAUUCCGGGUGUAGUGGUGAAAUGCGUAGAUAUCCGGAGGAACACCUGAGGCGAAGGCGACUCGCUGGGCUCGUUCUGACGCUCAGACACGACAGCAUGGGGAGCGAACGGGAUUAGAUACCCCAGUAGUCC
rnacentral:rRNA from 1 species